rnacentral:rRNA from 1 species
UACGGAGGAUCCAAGCGUUAUCCGGAAUCAUUGGGUUUAAAGGGUCCGUAGGCGGUUUUGUAAGUCAGUGGUGAAAGCCCAUCGCUCAACGGUGGAACGGCCAUUGAUACUGCAAGACUUGAAUUAUUGGGAAGUAACUAGAAUAUGUAGUGUAGCGGUGAAAUGCUUAGAGAUUACAUGGAAUACCAAUUGCGAAGGCAGGUUACUAACAAUAUAUUGACGCUGAUGGACGAAAGCGUGGGGAGCGAACAGG